AAAGAUCCACGCUUCACGCCCUCCUCAGCUCGUGAUCUCCCUCCACCCUCGUGAUCAUUCUCUCGUUCGAGCUCGCCUUCCUAGCCGCGCGUGGGAUUCGAUCUUUCUGUCGCUUUGGAUCGACUGGGGUCUCAAGCCGCGGAGGUUCGGCGGAAGUGAAGGAUUGUUGUGGUUAAAGAUUCAGAGCAGUAUGCGGUGGCUGAGUCUCUCGGUUGAUGUCUACCGGAAAGUGAUCUCCUUGAACUUGUAUUGCAGAGUUAUUCUGUAACUCAUUUCCUCCUCAUGCGUUCCCUCUUAGAGCCAGCAGAAACCCUAAAGAUUGCCACUUGGCUUAUAUUUCUCCCUCGUCUUGCCUCUGCGAUCCAUCUUACUGGUCCUUUUUGAGUAUCAUUUGGCUUCUUUUCCUCUUUUCAUUUGGUUGCAUUCUGUUGGGUUCUCGGUGGACUGGUCUGGUUUCAGAGGAAAGAACAGUAGUAAUGGUGUGCCAGGCAGCGACGAGAACGAGAUUCCGAGCUUUGAAACACGAGAAUGGGAUCGCCGGUAGCACCACCAUAAUUGUUAGGGUCAUUGCUUGCUUCCGACCAUUGCAGGAUUGCCAGGCUGAGUAUUUCCGCCAUCUCCUAAAGCCGGUCACGUAAAUUAGCUUCCCUUUAGCAGUUCAUCUUCGAUAAGGCUGGCACUUUUGCUCUCCUUUUUUCAUAGAUCCUGAAGUGAAAACAAUUUUUUAUACUUACUAAUUGCCUGAGGUCAUCAAUUUGGGCUUUGUUUUGAUGGAGAAGGAUAUGAAUCCUCGGACUGGCAUGCAACAUUCACCUUGGCAAUUUAGUAACAUGAACCCUGCUAGUAAUAUACAACAGUUUGAUAUCGGGUAUCAGAACACCAAUUCAAUGCUGUCUCCUGCCUAUGUUCCGCAUGGUUGUGUCUUCUCAGUCAAUACUCCAACACCCUUCCCUGGUAUCAACACGGACAACCCCUUCCAACAGACAUCAUCUUUGAUCCCUCCUCUGUUCCCAUCUUGUAGGCAUCCAGAAUUUGAUGGAUCAAAGAAGAGAUGCGUGGUCUUUGAUCAAAUUGGCUAUGGAAGGAGCUUCUUCUGUAGCUCAUCAGAUAUCCCUUUUCCAUGCUUUAAUUCCAUGAACCCAGGUUUCAGUCUGCAGGGCAGCACUGAAACCAAUGUUUCUAGCAGGAACGAAGGUGAAGAGAUGCAUGAAGAUACGGAGGAAAUCAAUGCACUGUUGUACUCAGAUUCUGAUGAUGAAGAGGCCAGCACAGGACACUCUCCGGUUGGGGCAUUAGAGAUGGGUUCAUCCGAGGUCGCAAGCUCCAUGCUUCCAGUGAAGAGGAGGAGAGUUGAUGUAGAAUUUGAUGCAUCACUUGUAGAUACUGCAAGCUCACAAGUUUUUCACUGCCCCAACGAACCUAUGAGGUAUAGGAAUAAAGAUGAAGAUGAUGAUACUGAAUCAAGCUUUGUGAAAGGAGGCGAUCACGAUCAGAAUGCUGAUGACAGGCAACUCAAAAGAGCAAGAAUUCAAGAAACAGUUGGCAUAUUAAGAACGAUUAUUCCUGGAGGGAGGGGGAAGGAUGCUGCCUCUGUCCUUGAUGAGGCCAUCCAUUAUCUCAAAUCGCUUAAACUGAAGACCAGAUCUUUGAAUGCUACUCCUUAGUUGCUACUCCAGCAGCAUCUUUAUUAUUUGCAUCUGUAUAUAUAUUAGAAUGUGAUAUUUGCACAGUAGUAGUAGUAUCAGUAUCAGUUGGAUGGACCCUUUUCUCUAAAUGUCAUGGAAAGAGAAAGGAAGAGGCCAGUGGGUUCUAUCCACACAGCUCCAAUGAUUGAAGGUGUGAAUCAGUACCCUAAAAGUCACAGCUUUAGAGUUUUGGGCUUUAAUGGUGGAGGAAGGGGGAUAUGAUGGUUCAAUAAAGCAUAGCUAUCCUUUAGUGUCUAUGAGUUUGUGUGAGGAGCGAGGAUUCCAAAUCGAUGCAAAGAGGGUCUGUGAGCAACUUAUUUUGACUGAGAAGGAAUGAUGGGCACCACGAGGAGUGCUGCGUGUGUGUGAUCAAUCGAUACAAGCAGGCUUGCACAAGGCUGGUAUGUUGGGUGGUGAUUGCCACUUUUAUCUUGCUUUGUUGGUCUCUUUAGACAGUAGGAUGACAGUGCAGAGGAAAAUUGAAAUCUGGCUAUUGCGUCUUGGCUUUAAUCAUUUCCUGAAGACUUGUGGAGGAUAUAUUGCUUUGUUGACAUGGCAAGGGAGGGCAGGUUGCUUCAUGAUUAACCUUGUUUGGGGCCAUGCUGAAAUAUAUUGAGGAAGGGGCAUUUGGGUGCAUGAUGAGUGGAUAAGGCUGUGGUCCAUUGAUAGUUCUCUUUUGGCAAAGUGGGAGUCACUGUCCUCUUGAAAGGUGUGGUUCAGAUUUGGUAUGGUUGUUGGACAACAAAGCUGCAAAGUGCUGCUUGUUCAAUUUGACUCUGUGACAAUGAUCUAAGAACAACUCUACUUGCUGCUGCCCUCCGAUUUUUCUUUGCUGUUGGUGUCAACCAUGAGCCUCGACAUUGUGUACCAUGAGCCUUUGUAUUGGGAGUGCAGGAAAGGAUGCUAUUGUUUGUGGUCAUUGUUUCUGGAUUCGAGGUUCUGUAAUCAUGAGUUUGAUGCAUAGGAACAGUCUGUUGGCAUCUCCUGGAUGUAACAAACUUAUCGGCGGCCUGUGAUUGUGUCGAAGAUGUUGUUGACGGUUUGUGAUUGUAUUGGACGUGUUGUUGAAAAGACUAUGUUUGGGUUUGAUAUUGUAAUGUAUUUCUUGUUUGCUCUUGUUGAA